rnacentral:tRNA from 1 species
CGCGGAGUGGAGCAGUCUGGUAGCUCGUCGGGCUCAUAACCCGAAGGUCAUAGGUUCAAAUCCUGUCUCCGCAA